rnacentral:lncRNA from 1 species
AGAUCAUAAUGUUAUGUCUUGGACUGCAAUUAUUACGGGAUUUGUGCAAAGUGGAGGGUGUGAUAAGGAAGCUAUUGAAUUAUUUCUUGAAAUGAUUGGGGGAAGAGACAGGGACACACCAUUGCUGCUUAGGCUACUGAUUGCUGUUUUCCCAUUCUUGGACUGGGUUAAGUUACUAUUUUGAUUCUAUUUUUCCCUGGCUUGUAAAAAUUAUACAACCUGUUCGCUUACAAAUUUUUACAGAGAAUCAUGAGCAAUCCUAUGCAUAGAAGGAAGCAUAAAUAACCCAUGCUUGUGGUGCAUAAGACACAACCAAUGAUCAACGAGCAGAAGAAUACACCAGCUUGGUUCCUGGAAAGAACCUGUAAAUGAUACUGAAUUUUUUAGCUGCAGGUUAUUUAAUUCUAUUCCUUUGCAAGAAGGGCACCCGUGAUGGUCUUGUUUCAACAAUUAAACUCACGAUCAGACGUAGGUAUUCUAUGGCAUGAUGGCGACCGCUGACAACCAAGGACAACGAAGCCCAAUAGUUGUUUAAGCUGUCUCCGACCCAACAUCAAAGCAGGGAGAUUUUUCUAAUGAUGAAGAUAGGACCAUCUCUAACCUUUAUCCCAAC